ACUGUUAACGGAUCUACCUACCAAGUAACACACUUCGCAGAUUUUUUUUAAUCAUCAUAUGAUAUUAAGUUUUUAGUUCAAACCGUCACAACUUCUCUAUGUAUAUUUUUGUAUUUCGAGACUAAAGAAAACCUAUGACGUUUGUCAACUUCAGUCAACAUUUUGAAAGAAGCACCAAAUGUCCAGUGAAUUUUAACAUGCACAAUAAGUUUCCCUAUAUAUUUGAAAAUGACCAAAACUAAGAAACAUUUUCAUCUCGAUUACAAAUUAUGUACCCUUAUGAAGCUGUUCUAAGUGCAUUCCCUAUUUUAUACUACAUUGGAGUUUUACCUAAAGCAUGCUGUCGAUUCAUAUUAUUUUUGAUUAUGGUUAGAAAAGUAUUUCGUGAUGUUCAGCGAUGUCAAAUGUGUAGCAGACAAUUAUUACUGGCUUCAUCUAUGGGUGGUUUUACUGAAGCCCUCUUAUUUCCAAUCUUAUGGUUUAUGGAAUAUCUGCCAGACCAAGCAAGAUAUAUUCUAGCCGCAUGUCUUUUCAUGAAGUUGUUAGGUGAUGUUUGGGCAUUUCAGAAAAAACAACGUCGUCGUCGUUGAUGUCAUAUUUCACCUAAUGAAGAACUUAUUCCAACCAAAUAAAAUGUUUUUAUUCCCACA